AGAAAAGAAAUAGAAAG
rnacentral:rRNA from 1 species